UUUUUUUUUUUUUUUUUUUCAGUACAUUAUUCUAACAUAACAGGUCAAACACUGAAAAUUUUUUUCUAGUCCGUCAAAUACUGAUAGCAAUAUAGAUUCUACAAUUAUAACUAUAGAUUUGUCUGUGUUUUCCUUCAGUUCUAUCAGUUUUAUUUCAUGUAUUUGGGAUCACUUUUAUUAGGUAUAUGUACAUCUGUGGUUACUGUCUACUCUGUUCAUUUAUCAUCAGGAAAUAACAUCCCUCUUUAACAUUAGUAAUACCCCUUUAUCCAGAAGUCUGUUUUAUCUGAUAUAGCCACUCAGACAUUUUUUAAAAUUAAAGUAUAGUUGACAGCGUUCUGUUAGUUGGAAGUGAACAAAAUAGUUAUUUAACAAUUCUAUAUAUUACCCUGUGCUCAACAUGAUAAAUGUAAUCACCACCUGUCACCAUGCCAUAUUACAAUAUCAUGGACUAUAUUCCCUAUGCUGUAUUUUUUUCAUCCCUGUGACUUUAUUUUAUAACUUGGGAGUCUGUAACCUUUUAAUCCCCUUUGCAUAUAUCACCCAUCCCCACCAACCUCCCCUCUGGCAACCACCAGUUAGUUCUCUGUAUUUAUGAUUCUUCCAAGGUUUUUUUGUUGUUGUUCAUUUGUUUUGCUUUUUAGAUUCUAUACAUAAGUGAAAUCAUAUUGGAAAUUGUCUUUGACUGACUUAUUUCACUGAGAGUAACACCCUCUAGGUCCACCCAUGUUGUCACAAAUGGCAAGAUCUCAUUCUUCUUUAUGGCUAAUAUUCCGUGUGUGUGUGUGUGUGUGUAAAUAAAUAUAUAUACAUUUAUACCAACCUUUGUCCAUUCACCUAUUGAGGCAUUUGGGUUGCUUCCGUAACUUGGCUAUUGUAAAUAAUGCUACACUAAAAUGAGGGGUGCAUAGAACUUUCGGAGUUAGUGUUUCUGUUUCCUUUAGUAAAUACCCAGUGGUGGGAUUAUGGGCUCAUAUGGUAUUUCUAUUUUUUUGAGGCGCCUCCAUACUAUUUUCCCCAGUGGCUGUACUUUAUAUUCCUAACCAACAGUGCACAAGGGUUCCCAAUUUUCCACAUCCUCAUCAAAACUUGUCUUUUUGAUAUUAGCCAUUCUGACUGAAGUUAGGUGGUAUCUCAUUGUGGUUUUGAUUUGCAUUUCCCUUAUCAUUAGUGAUGUUGAACAUAUUCUCAUGCAUCAUGUCUUAUCUGUAUGUCUUCUUUGGAAGAAAAAUCUAUUCAGAUCCUCUGCCCACUUUUUAAUGGAUUGUUUUCUGGUGCUGAGUUGUACAGAGCUUUAUAUAUUUUGGAUAUUAACUCUUCUUCAGAUACAUCACUUGCAAAUAUUUUCUUCCACUGAGUAGGUUGCCUUAUUGCACAAAUAGUUUCCUUUGCUGUGCCUAAGUUUUUUAUUUUGAUGUAGUUUCAACAGUUUAUUUUUGCUUUUAUUUCCCUUGCCUUAGGAGACAUAUCUAGAAAAAUGUUGAAAUGCUGAUGUCUAAGAGAUUACUUCCUAUGUUUUAUUCUAGGAGUUUUAUGGUUUCAGGACUCACACUUAGGUCUUUAAUCCACUGUGAUUUUAUUUUUGUAUAUGGUAUAAGAAAGUGGCCCAGUUUCUAGACAGCUACAUAUAAAAGAAUGAAACCUGGCUAGGAUGCUGGGGCUUACUGAGGUAGCAGGCCAGUGAGAGUGCCAAGGCCCUCCUACUGUCUGCACUACCAAAGUGGGAGGAAAUAUAAACAGUAGUGCUCCAUCAGUGCUUCCAACCCUGGAGAGAAUUCCAGCAGGCCACCUACCAUGUGGUAGAGGACUGGUUCCUUUAUAUUCCAGUUGCCUCUUUCAAAUACAGUUUUUCUGUGGCCCAGGACAGAUGAAUCUGCUCCUGGUCCCUCAGUACUAUCCUUCCCUACUGCAGUUGUAAGCAUCCGGGGUGGGUUUAUGUUCACUACGAUGUGUCUCCAACUAUUCUCUAUGUUGUCUCUUUCUGUCCUUUGUUAUACAGAAGCUGUUUAGCCCUCAGUUCUUUUUCAGGAGGAAUUAUUCUAUAUAUAAGUAUAGAUCUGGUGUCUAAAGGAGCUGAGUUCAGCAUUACCCUGUGUCACCAUCUUGAACCUCCCCAAACCAUUUUUGAUAGGUGUUUGCAUGCUAUAUCAAGUUCUAAUCUCUUGCCUUUAAGAUAUCUAUGUUAGGAUAUUGAAAUAGGGUA
rnacentral:lncRNA from 1 species